rnacentral:lncRNA from 1 species
UAGAGGUCAAGAAAGGUUUUGUGGAAGAUGAGUAUGGAUAUUGAACUGGAUUUCAAAAGGUUCUGGAAAGGAGAAAAGUCCGAGUAGGGCAUUAUCCUAACAGAAAGGAUUUGAUCUGCAGACAGAACAGUGCAAGAUAAAGACCCGAGGAAGGAAUUAAUAACCUUCCGCAUAUCAUGAGUGCAGAAUCCAGCAUUUGAAAUGAGAUGCAGAAUGAAAUAAACUGGAG